GUCGAGCGAACGGACGAGAAGCUUGCUUCUCUGAUGUUAGCGGCGGACGGGUGAGUAACACGUGGAUAACCUACCUAUAAGACUGGGAUAACUUCGGGAAACCGGAGCUAAUACCGGAUAAUAUUUUGAACCGCAUGGUUCAAAAGUGAAAGACGGUCUUGCUGUCACUUAUAGAUGGAUCCGCGCUGCAUUAGCUAGUUGGUAAGGUAACGGCUUACCAAGGCAACGAUGCAUAGCCGACCUGAGAGGGUGAUCGGCCACACUGGAACUGAGACACGGUCCAGACUCCUACGGGAGGCAACAGUAGGGAAUCUUCCGCAAUGGGCGAAAGCCUGACGGAGCAACGCCGCGUGAGUGAUGAAGGUCUUCGGAUCGUAAAACUCUGUUAUUAGGGAAGAACAUAUGUGUAAGUAACUGUGCACAUCUUGACGGUACCUAAUCAGAAAGCCACGGCUAACUACGUGCCAGCAGCCGCGGUAAUACGUAGGUGGCAAGCGUUAUCCGGAAUUAUUGGGCGUAAAGCGCGCGUAGGCGGUUUUUUAAGUCUGAUGUGAAAGCCCACGGCUCAACCGUGGAGGGUCAUUGGAAACUGGAAAACUUGAGUGCAGAAGAGGAAAGUGGAAUUCCAUGUGUAGCGGUGAAAUGCGCAGAGAUAUGGAGGAACACCAGUGGCGAAGGCGACUUUCUGGUCUGUAACUGACGCUGAUGUGCGAAAGCGUG
rnacentral:rRNA from 1 species